AGUGAACGCUGGCGGUAGGCCUAACACAUGCAAGUCGAACGGCAGCACAGUAAGAGCUUGCUCUUACGGGUGGCGAGUGGCGGACGGGUGAGGAAUACAUCGGAAUCUACUUUUUCGUGGGGGAUAACGUAGGGAAACUUACGCUAAUACCGCAUACGACCUACGGGUGAAAGCAGGGGAUCUUCGGACCUUGCGCGAUUGAAUGAGCCGAUGUCGGAUUAGCCAGUUGGCGGGGUAAAGGCCCACCAAGGCGACGAUCCGUAGCUGGUCUGAGAGGCUGAUCAGCCACACUGGAACUGAGACACGGUCCAGACUCCUACGGGAGGCAGCAGUGGGGAAUAUUGGACAAUGGGCGCAAGCCUGAUCCAGCCAUACCGCGUGGGUGAAGAAGGCCUUCGGGUUGUAAAGCCCUUUUGUUGGGAAAGAAAAGCAGCAGGUUUAUACCCCGCUGUUCUGACGGUACCCAAAGAAUAAGCACCGGCUAACUUCGUG
rnacentral:rRNA from 1 species